AGAGAGAAAGGAAACUGUUGAUACCCUAUUUCUCUGCAUUAACAGUGAUCAAACAGUGAUCUCAACGUCUGCUUUUUCAACCCCUAGCUGUCAUUAAAGUAACAAUUUUCAUACAAAACCCUUGAUCCAAAAAAGGGUAAUUUUGUGCUUUUCUUUCUUCAAUUUUAAUUGCGGUUUUUGCAUGUUUAUGAUUUCCAGUAGGUCUAUUCUUGUCUACUCUUUCCCAUAGUUGGCUUAGGUUAACAGUUGGAUUCCACUAAUGUAUAAAUUCACUGGCAUUUACUGGCUAUAGACUAGUCAUUGGAUCAAUACAAAACAGAAAGAGGAGAGGCAAUCUCCCUCCUGGCCAGCAUCAUUAUUGUUUCUCUUACCCUUUGCCAAAUGGAGAUUGUGACUUGUCUGAAUCAAUAAAUCCCCCCACACAUUGAACUGAAAUUUUCCCUUUUGGAAGUUUCUCCUCGUUUGAUCAUUUGCUAUACACGUUAAGACAAAUGGACCCAUAUGAAAUUUUUUGAAAAAGAUUUAUGCUUUGGCUUGGUAUUAUCCAGAGAAACUGCCUGGAGAAUGUUUCCCCUCGGAUAGAAGAAAGUUUAACAUUUCUUGCUUAGGGAUGGUUAAUAUUCAUCUGAUCAUUUUCCAGCUAAGGCUCUCUCUGUGUAGGUUGCAGGAAUCUGGAAUGUGGAAUCUGAAUUCUCUCACCCACUAAGAGGGAAAGUCUUGUCGUCCUGGGAAACAGAGGAAAGUGCAUAGAAAAUUUAUGAUGGUCACAUGCUUGUGUUUCCCUCCCUCAGGUCUCAGCCCAACAGUAACCACUCUUGCCGAGGGAAGUUAAGCCAAGUUGUGCCCAUGGAUUUGACAAUUCUGGGAUUUUGGAACCCAGCUAGCUAUCUUUACUGUCCAUGUUUAUGAACUUAGUUAUUACGAGUUUUGAAAUGUGAUUGGGUUCUUCUUGUUCUGACCAGUUAUGUUACUUGGUUUGGUAGGUGGGAAGUUUAUGUAAUUUUGAGCAUUUGGUUGGAUGGGAGAGUUAAAUAUUGACAAAGUGAUUUUUGAAAGCGAACUUUUCUCUUAUCAUUUGAAUUCCAUCCAACAUGUCAUAUGUAGGUUUAUAUACAAAGGUGUUCAAUGUUCAAUAUGCAAGGGUGUCACUUGAACUAGUUAAGUUUGCUCCUCAAUCAUUUGGUUCAUAAGGGGUCGAUACUAC
rnacentral:lncRNA from 1 species